rnacentral:rRNA from 1 species
GAUUAACGCUGGCGGCGUGCAUAACACAUGCAAGUCGAACGAUGAAACUUAACUGAUUUCUUCGGAAUGAUUUUAAGUGGAUUAGUGGCGGACGGGUGAGUAACGCGUGAGUAACCUGCCUUGGAGAAGGGGAUAGCCUUUGGAAACGAAGAAUAAUACCCUAUGAUAUGAUAAUAUCUCAUGAUAUUAUCAUCAAAGAUUUAUCGCUCUAAGAUGGACUUGCGUCUGAUUAGUUAGUUGGUGAGGUAACAGCUCACCAAGGCAGCGAUCAGUAGCCGGCUUGAGAGAGUGUACGGCCACAUUGGGACUGAGACACGGCCCAGACUCCGACGGGAGGCAGCAGUGGGGAAUUUUGCACAAUGGGGGAAACCCUGAUGCAGCGACGCCGCGUGAUUGAGAAGGCCUUCGGGUUGUAAAAAUCUUUUGUAUGGGAAGAAAAUGACAGUACCAGACGAAUAAGGACCGGCUAAUUACGUG